GUGUAGUGGAAUUCCAGGGUCACAGCCUGAACCAAUGGGUGGGCUCUGUGAGUGUGUGAGUGCGGCGGCGCGGCGGUACGAACGGGGGAGGGACACAUUCCUCAGCUCGGCUCGGGCUGCGCACUGCUACCGGGAGGGUUCACAGGAUGGCCCGCAGGAGCAACAUCACUCAAACACGCUUAUGAGGAAACAUCAUGACACCCUGUGACGCACUGCUGAACUUUUGGGGACUGGAGAGCAUGAAUCAGAAGCGCUACUGGUCCUUGAAAAAGAUACGCCUCGAGAAAGAACAUCAAGUACUGGCCCAACAGAACCGUGAAGGGGACUGCCACUGAUUGCCUUUAUUGUUUUGACAUCCUAUAUUGCGGCGGGUGUUGUGUAUGCGUCGCGAUGCGCAUUGUGUCUUGGGCCACCAGGUUGCAGGGGCUCACCCCCUACCUGCUCAGUCAUUGGUUCAUGCUGUGAAGGGGUGGAGUGUAGUGGAAUUCCAGGGUCACAGCCUGAACCAAUGGGUGGGCUCUGUGAGUGUGUGAGUGCGGCGGCGCGGCGGUACGAACGGGGGAGGGACACAUUCCUCAGCUCGGCUCGGGCUGCGCACUGCUACCGGGAGGGGUGAGUCGAUUCUUUUUGAUAUCUUUCCCUCGUGUGCCUAUUUCUUAAAUAAAGGCUUUGUCAUCACCUUCAUUUGCCCUACAGAUGGAUAAGGAUUUGAUGGAAGAAUUGGAACUUUAACAGAUGUGGCAAAUCUAUCUGCAAACGGUAGCUUUUUGUCAUUGGACAGCAUUAUAAAACUGCUACGCUUUUCUGUUGUGGUUUAUCUUUGCUGUUGUCCACAUAUCACUUUAAAAUUUAUCCUCUUAGCAAUCAUUAAAACUUGAAUACAAACUCUUCUCAAACUGUGUUUGUGUACAUAUAGAGUAGAUAUUCAUCACUAUGAUGAUAAAUGAAGGCAAGUUUCUGUUGAAGGCUGGAAAUACCUUGAAAGUUUUUUAGCUACCCGAGCCUAACUCAGGGAAAUCUAUGGAGUAAAGCCAUUACCCUGUUCACAGCAUCUGACACCUGCAACCUCCCAUGAGUUCACUUGUGCCCCUCACUUUUUUAGACACAAUGUCUCUUCAUGAUACUUUGACUUGGACCACUGUGGAGUCUCUCCUAGGCACUAGUUUCCUAAGUGAAGUCACUGUAUCAUUUAGUGAGAUAAAUGCUUGCAUGUACUUAUUCUGAAACAUGAAUCUCUCCAAGGGGAGAAGAAAUAAUUCAGGUUUCCAAAUAUUGGCAAUCUCAUAAUUUUCAUUUAUUUUUUGAAAUUCUAAUACUUUCCAUGCACAGUCAACAUCACUGAAAAAUAUAGUUUGAGUCAUCUGUAUAACUCUACCAAAUAGGGAGAGACUGUUAAUACAGCACUGAAAAGGAUGUCUAUACUAAAUACUUUCCAAGCUAAAUUUCUAAGUCUUCAACUCUAGGUGUUACAUAAACCUCUACAAGAAAAAAGACCACAAUGCAUCGUGCAAGAAAAAAAAAAAGGUAAACUUACAUGACUGCGUUUUGCUGAAAUGUAAAACAGCAAGUGAACUUUGGCCAGUGAUCACACCUGACAACUUUCAGCUAUGAAGGUGAAUACAUGACAGUUAUUUACAACCAAAAAGGACAGAAAGAAAACAUUAAGAAAAUUAUAGAUGUCACUAUACUCUCCUUCUGAAAUACCAUUGCUAGUUGCAAUAUAGUACAGACAACAGAGCAAGGUGAUCUAUGAAGCAACAAUGUGUUACUAACAAAGAGGAAAAACACUAGAAAGACUACAGAUGAGCUCAUGGAUCAUUCAGAAGACCACCCACUGAAAAAAAGAAGAGAAAAAUAAAAUCCUGUUUAGCUAACUUCAGUGGUUUGCUGGAUUGACCCUUGAACCACUAAGUCAUCAGUUUCCAAAUAUCCAGCUUUACUAGCCAAUUACUCAGCAGUACCUGACAUGAUCAAUGAUCUGAAAGUUUUCAGUUGCUUGUAUUGAUCAAAUAUAAACACAAAACACAACUGUCAGCUGCUCUCAGUUCAUUACUGAUGAAGCGAUGUUUAAAAUAAUUAAUGAAUAAUUGGUUGAACAUGGAAGAAAGAAGCCUAAGUGAUAUAAAAGAGUAAAGAUGUUUAUAGCUCACUUAAUUAAUAAUUUGUUUUAUAAUUGAUUUUUGAAUCAUUUAACUGGCAAAAGAAAGGUGUGAACUAUAAUUACAAGCUCCCUACUUUUACUCAUUUUUGGAUUUCUUUUAAGUAUUUCUAAUGUGAAGAAAGCAGAAUCUCUGUGCCUGCCAAUCUCUCUUCCAGUUAUUGGUGAUAUGAAUAAAUCUCAGACAGUGUCAGUUAUUACAAAAUGUGAUGGUUGAUUACUUUUUAUACAAAAAGGCACAGGAGAAAAUGCUGUGGUAUGUGAAGGUAGGGCUUGGACACACAAAGGAAUUAUUGUAAACUAAUGUACUUCCAGGUGUCAGCUGAGCUUGGGUAACUAACAGCAUUUGUACUUUUAGCCUGAAGCAAAUCUGAAGCAAAACAUGUUAGAUUAAUCUUCAGGGAGCGCAUCCAUCCUCUGUUAGCAGGACCAACCCCAAACAAGUGUCAUGUUUCCAGUGGCACACCACAAAGAACAAUCUGACUCCCCCUUGUACUGAUUUGAGAAUAAGAACAAUUCCAACUUUUAAUUCAGGAAUUUAUUGUAUCUUCUACAUCAAUAGAAUGAUCCAAGACUAAGUUCUACCACACCUUUUGAAAGGAAGAUGCUGUAAAACAACGGCUACUUUAAAAAAGAGACUUCAAAUCAAAUUCUAUACUGGUUUCACUGGAAAAAUGAGUGUAUGUCUUGCACGGUCAGUUAAAAUAACAGCCUAACUGUUAGAAAAUAAAGAUCUCAGUCCUUAUGAAGAGGGAGAGAAAUUACAAUGAAAAAAAUGCUGUUUAAAGGAAAGGUAAAAAAUGAAGGAUUAGCUUACUCUUACUCUACUUCUAUCUCUCAUAAAUACAUUUUAAAAUUCUUUUAAUUAACAUUCUUCUGCUCUAUGGCUGUUGCCAUUAUUUCUUUGGAAUUUAAAAUGUCUGUUUUGUUAGGCAAGUGGAUGUUAGGAAUCUUGGGCUAUUAAAAGAUGUUGCCAAUGUUAAUUAUUACACAAAGGAUUAAAUCUUAAAUAAGUAGUAUUAAAAAGUGACUCUAUAAACCUUUAUGUUAUUGGUACUUCCAAGGUUUUUCAAAGAAAAGACCAAUAUGAGGGAUUAAUAGUUAAGGUUAUGCAAAAUCCAC
rnacentral:lncRNA from 1 species